UACCGAUCAUAUGACUGACGGAUGAGUGGAUAAACCACGUGAAGUAUGAUCGAAGAAAGCCGACCGUCUGGGCAAUCAUA
rnacentral:ncRNA from 2 species